rnacentral:rRNA from 1 species
UACGUAGGUGGCAAGCGUUGUCCGGAUUUACUGGGCGUAAAGGGUAUGUAGGCGGCCAGACAGGUCCGUUGUGAAAACUCGAGGCUCAACCUCGAGAUGUCGAUGGAAACCGUCUGGCUAGAGUCCGGAAGAGGAGUGUGGAAUUCCUGGUGUAGCGGUGAAAUGCGCAGAUAUCAGGAAGAACACCUAUGGCGAAGGCAGCACUCUGGGACGGUACUGACGCUGAGGCGCGAAAGCGUGGGGAGCGAACAGG